AAUCAUUAAACUUAGUCUGAAUAUCUCAAUUCUAUCUCUGGACCAUGUGGCUGCAGGCAAGCAAAUUAAAUUAGUAAACAGUGCAAUGCCUAUCUCAUUGAACACUAGGGCCUGAGAGCAACUAGAUUCAGUCAAGCAUGCAAGUGAAUCUAGAGCAGCAGAAAAAUCAGGGAACCAGACCUAUGAAAUCAAAACAAGAGAGAGGUAGAGGGAGGCUUGACCUUGGAUUGUUGCUGCCCCAUGGCUGGGCGUCAUCCCGUGAGAGAAGCCUCACUCCUCCUCUCCCUACAUCAAGUUGGUGCAGGUGCGUGGUGAGUUGGAGGCUGGCUGCAUCCAUUGGCGUGUUGAGGUCUCCUGCAGCCCAGCACGAACACCAACAGAGCAACAAGGUGUGAGGAACACGCAUACACUCCUGUAGAAUUGAAUCAAAUAGAGAGGGGAGGCGGGAGGUGGCGCACUUUUUCCUUGAGUGAGUGCUGCUAAAAAUCCAUGGCUGGGUGUCUUCAUCCUCCUCGCUGUGCAUAGAGUCCAGUUGCUGUGUGCGUGAGGCAGGAACGUACAUCUCAUCUCAGGGAAGGGAAGAAGAAGAAAUCCAAAAGGAAAGGAGAAGGGGGCGGACCUGUAUGUCGUCGGGGUAGCCUUCCUGUCCCGGAGCCACGGGGUAAGGUCGCCGGAGCCAGACGGAGCAGAUCCAGCGCCGGCGCACGCGCAUCCAGCGCCUCCUCGCCCAGCAGCACCAUCAGCGGCGGAUAAAAAUUCAACCUUUGACCUACGGGGUGUGAGAGAGCGGCCGCGCUGGUGACGAAGGGGAGGGCAGCCUGACCAGGGAGCGCCGGCGAUGGUGACGAAGGGGAGGGGGCGGCCUGACCAGGGAGCGCUGGCUAUGGUGGAG
rnacentral:lncRNA from 1 species